CUGAAAUUGGAUACCUGAAAAUAGAAGAGAACAUGGAAUUUCCGUCAAAUGCCUUGACUAUGGGCCCACUGUUGGGGGACUUUUGAGGUAAAAAACUCGGAAACCCACCACUGAUGCUGGCCCACCCUCCCGGAGGAUGUGGAUUUCCUGGCCACAGAUUUGAACUGCACAGUCUCUGGCAAGAGUAAAUAUUGAUGAAUGUUGGAAUGAACUGGUUGGUUGAUAGCUAGAAGCCAUGCUCAGGUCCCAGAGGCUGCCCUCGGCUCCAGAGGUGGCUGCUGUUCCUUGCCAUGUGGACUCCCCAACAGGGCUGCUUCCUUCAUCGAGCCAGCAAGAAGAGUCUCGGAAACAUGUUCUUGGAAUGGGAUCCCAUCUCCUUUGCCACAUUCUAUUGAGAUGAAGCAAGUCUGCUGGCACUCAAGGGGAAGGGAUCACACAAAGGCAUAAACACCAGGAGGUGAGGAUCCCGGAGCCCGUCUAAGGGGUGAUUUGCAAUUGCAAAUAGCCUGGUCAGGAAAGGCAUCCUUGGGAAGUGAGGUAGUGAGCCUUGUAGAUAUCUUGGAGAACAGUAUUACAGGAAGAGGAAGGAAAAGUACAAGGCACUUGGGGUCAGAUAGUGGUUGGUAAGUUCCAGGAACCCUAAGGAGACCAGUGUGAUAGGAAAGGAGGGAGCCAGGAGGAGUCCAGAGGAAGAAGAGAUCAGAGAGUAAGUGGGGGUGGAAGGAGACCUCAAAGGACUUUGUAGGGCAUUGUAAGGAUUUUUUUAGAAAGAGAUGGGGAGUCCCUGAAGGGCUUUGAGCAGAGAUAGAACCUGCUCUCUCUCCUGGCCAUACUGGUGAGAACAGAUUGCAGGGAAGAUGUGGUGUGCUGUGUUGGUUUGAAGCUGUUAGGUACCCCAGAAAAGAUCAUUUUCUUUUAAUCCAUUCCCAUGGGUGUAGAUUUCUUGUGGGUGGGAUAUCUGAUUAGGUUAUUUCAGUUGAGAUGUGACCCACCUCAUUCAAGGUGGGUCUUAAUCUUCUUACUGGAAUCCUUUACAAGAGUAUAAAGGACAUCCAGAAAACCCAGAAAAGCUCAGAGAAGCCCCAGAGAAGUUUAAAGAAAAAGCCACAGUUGGUGAAGCCAGAGGCUGAAGCAACAAAACCCCGGGAGAGAAGGACCAGCAAAUGCCAGCCAUGUGUAUUGCCA